CGGGGUGUAGCGUAGUCCGGCUUAACGCGCCUGGUUUGGGACCAGGAGAUCACAAGUUCAAAUCUUGUCACUCCGA
rnacentral:tRNA from 1 species